AUGGCGGAGUCCCUCGACAUGUCCCUCGAGGACAUCAUCAAGAGCAACAAGAAGGGCAACUCCUCGUCCGGCGGGGGUGGCCGCCGCCGCGAGGGUCGCCGCGGAUCUGCCGCCGCCGCCGGAGGCGUCGGCCCCAACAGGCGCGCCUUCAAGAGGUCGGGGAACAGGGCGGCGCCCUACCAGCCGCCGAAGGCCCCGGAAUCGGCGUGGCAGCACGACAUGUACUCGGACGCCUCUGCGAGAGGCGGCGGCGGCGGGAGGGUCUCGGCUAUCGAGACCGGCACCAAGCUCCUCAUCACCAAUUUGGACUUCGGCGUCUCAACCGAGGACCUCAAGGAGCUUUUCUCCGAGCUGGGUGAUGUGAAGCGAUGCUUGAUUCACUAUGACCGAAGUGGGAGGUCUAAGGGAACAGCUGAGGUUAUAUUUGCAAGGCGUGGUGAUGCUGUUGCAGCGCUGAGGAAAUACAACAAUGUCCAACUUGAUGGCAAGCCUAUGAAAAUAGAGAUACUUGGGACUAACACUCCUACUGCUCCAGCCGCACUACCGACCAAUAAUGGAAGCUAUGCUAGGAAUGUUGCUAAGAGUGCACCAAGGGGUGUCUCAGCUAGUUUGCCACAGAACAGACCCCGUGCAAGGGGUGGGAGGGGUCGCCGUGGCGGUGGCGGAGGCAGUGGAUCUGGCGGUCGUCGUGGGAAAGAGCGUAGUCAGCCAAGGUCUGCUGAAGAACUUGAUGCUGAGUUGGAGAAGUACCAUGCACAGGGUACGACGCCGAUGCAGACCACCGAAUAA
rnacentral:rRNA from 1 species